UAUUGGAAGAAAAUCCAACUACAAAGGAACCCUAGGGUUUUUAAGGAAGCACCAUCAUUCCAAUUGGAUCAUUAGGGGAAUUUGAGUCAAUUAAAAGUUCUUCAAUCAAUUGAUCACGAGGCAGCUGAUAACUAGGACGAGGUAUCCUUGUAGACCUGUGUCCAUCUUUUGGUAGGUGUCUCAGCAUUCAAUAACUGUACAUUCAUCUGAGUCCCCCCGCUGGAAGUCAAGUCUUCUUUUUGAGAUGUAUAGGCGAACCUAAUGUAUAUUAUUGGAAUACAUG